CCUACGGGAGGCAGCAGUGGGGAAUAUUGGGCAAUGGGCGCAAGCCUGACCCAGCAACGCCGCGUGAAGGAAGAAGGCUUUCGGGGUGGAAACUUCUGUUCUCAGGGACGAAGAAAGUGACGGUACCUGAGGAAUAAGCCACGGCUAACUACGUGCCAGCAGCCGCGGUAAUACGUAGGUGGCAAGCGUUAUACGGAUUUAUUGGGUGUAAAGGGCGUGUAGGCGGGAGCGCAAGUCAGAUGUGAAAACUCAGGGCUCAACCCUGAGCCUGCAUUUGAAACUGUGUUUCUUGAGUGCUGGAGAGGCAAUCGGAAUUCCGUGUGUAGCGGUGAAAUGCGUAGAUAUACGGAGGAACACCAGUGGCGAAGGCGGAUUGCUGGACAGUAACUGACGCUGAGGCGCGAAAGCGUGGGGAGCAAACAGGAUUAGAUACCCGGGUAGUC
rnacentral:rRNA from 1 species